CAACAACCCUCUGUUGCUUGUCAUUUAGACACUGCCUAACCCAUUCAACAAUAAUGGAAUCCAAACUUAAAUAUUGCAGUCUAUUGAUCAGCCUUCUAUGUGGAACAGUGUUGAGGUGUGCCUUUAACAUGACUGUAACUUUAAGUGUGUGUGUGUCUGUAGCAGUGUGUGUAUGUGACUUUAACUGUGUGUGUGGCUGUAACUGUUUGUGUGCCUUUAACAACGUUUGCGACUGUGUGCCAUUGACUGUGUGUUGUAGGUGCAACUGUGUGCAUGUGUCUGGCUGUGUCUGUGUAACUGUAUGUUACAUAGUGUAUAUGUCUGAUUGUGUGCACCUGACUUCUCUGUAACUGUGUCUAUCUGACUCUGUGCGUCUGGAUGUGU